rnacentral:rRNA from 1 species
GACGAACGCUGGCGGCGUGCCUAAUACAUGCAAGUCGAGCGGAUCUUUAGGAGCUUGCUCCUGAAGAUUAGCGGCGGACGGGUGAGUAACACGUGGGCAACCUGCCUGUAAGACUGGGAUAACACCGGGAAACCGGUGCUAAUACCGGAUAAUUCUUUCCUUCACGUGAGGGAAAGCUGAAAGUCGGUUUCGGCUGACACUUACCGAUGGGCCCGCGGCGCAUUAGCUAGUUGGUGAGGUAACGGCUCACCAAGGCGACGAUGCGUAGCCGACCUGAGAGGGUGAUCGGCCACACUGGGACUGAGACACGGCCCAGACUCCUACGGGAGGCAGCAGUAGGGAAUCUUCCGCAAUGGACGAAAGUCUGACGGAGCAACGCCGCGUGAGUGAUGAAGGCCUUCGGGUCGUAAAACUCUGUUGUUAGGGAAGAACAAGUAUCGGAGUAACUGCCGGUACCUUGACGGUACCUAACCAGAAAGCCACGGCUAACUACGUGCCAGCCGCCGCCGUAAAAC